rnacentral:rRNA from 1 species
AUUGAACGCUGGCGGAAUGCUUUACACAUGCAAGUCGAGCGGCAGCGCGGGGCAACCUGGCGGCGAGCGGCGAACGGGUGAGUAAUGCAUCGGAACGUACCCAGUCGUGGGGGAUAACGUGGCGAAAGUCACGCUAAUACCGCAUACGUCCUGAGGGAGAAAGCGGGGGGUCGCAAGACCUCGCGCGAUUGGAGCGGCCGAUGUCUGAUUAGCUAGUUGGUGGGGUAAAGGCUCACCAAGGCGACGAUCAGUAGCUGGUCUGAGAGGACGACCAGCCACACUGGGACUGAGACACGGCCCAGACUCCUACGGGAGGCAGCAGUGGGGAAUUUUGGACAAUGGGCGAAAGCCUGAUCCAGCCAUUCCGCGUGAGUGAAGAAGGCCUCGGUUGUAAGACGUCUUUCGGUCUAGGAACGAAACGGUAGUAGGGCGUAAGUAUACCUGCAUCAAUGACGGUACCGUCGAAGAAGAAGACACCGGC